GGCCCUCAGGGGCAUGCGAGGGCAGGCCUUCCUCUUUAUAUAGGCUUAGAGAGCCACUACUCGAAGCCAAGCCUUACGUCAGGCAGCAGAGAUACCAAGAUGAGGUUGAAGAAAACACACGGCUUUCUCCACUCAUGGACUCCAAUGAGGAUGGCAACAACAUGGUAAUUAGAAGUCAUUAGCAGAUUGCUCUCAGCAAGUGGAAAGCAGUGAGAAUUCUGAAGCAAGACUUCUCUGGACUUCAGGGAAGUCCCUCUAAGGAAGUGACAUCUAAACUGGAACUCCACUGCCUCUAGUAUGUCUACUCUGGAGUUCCCACCUUUAAGGGUUUCUGGGAACAUUAAUAUAUAUAGUGUGAGUG
rnacentral:lncRNA from 1 species